ensembl:scaRNA
GGUCGGUGAUGUGAUGUAAAAGGUCUGAUGCUCAGGCUCCGCCCUCAGCCACCAUUUUGGCUCCCAGCAGUCCGUGCUCUCUGCCACCAUCUUGCUCUAGUGGUGCAUUAUGGUCCCAGCAGCUGCUGACAGGCUGGAUUGGACAUCACAGAGUCUGGACUGAGAUCAUCCAGACUCUGUGAUGUGAUGACAUCCGACAGAAUCAAUCGGUAGGAGCGUCAGGCUGAGGGAGCGGGGCACGAGUGGUGAUCUCACUCUUUUACUGAGACC